rnacentral:rRNA from 1 species
AACAAAAAGAAAGGGCGUACGGAGGAUGCCUUGGCUCUUGCAGGCGAAGAAGGACGUGAUAAGCUGCGAAAAGCCGCGUGUAGGUGCAAAUGACCUGUGAUGCGCGGAUCUCCGAAUGGGACAACCCGCCGUCUUGAAGGGACGGCAUUCCGCUCAAUGCGGAAGGCGAACGCAGGGAACUGAAACAUCUUAGUACCUGCAGGAAGAGAAAAUAACAAUGAUUCCCCUAGUAGUGGCGAGCGAACGGGGAAGAGCCCAAACCAUGCAUGUCGCAAGGCAUGUGUGGGGUAGUAAGGCCGCCAGAAGCCAUGUACGAGGUGAGCAGAACGGACUGGAAAGUCCGGCCGCAGCGGGUGAAAGCCCCUUAUGCGAAGCCUGUGUGCAUGCAGGGCGAGACCUUGAGUAGCGCGGGACACGUGGAAUCCUGUGUGAAUCAUCCGGGACCAUCCGGAAAGGCUAAAUACUCGCAAGAGACCGAUAGUGAACCAGUACCGUGAGGGAAAGGUGAAAAGUACCUCGAGCAGAGGAGUGAAAUAGAACCUGAAACCGUACGCCUACAAGCGGUCGGAGCUGUUUUAUAACAGUGACGGCGUGCCUUUUGCAUAAUGAACCUACGAGUUGCCGUCGUUGGCAAGGUUAAGGCCCGAGAGUGCCGCAGCCGAAGCGAAAGCGAGUCUGAAUAGGGCGUAAAGUCAGCGGAGGCAGACGCGAAACCAAGUGAUCUACCCUUGUCCAGGAUGAAGUCUGGGUAACACCAGAUGGAGGUCCGAACCAAUAAGCGUUGAAAAGCUUCUGGAUGAGGUAAGGGUAGGAGUGAAAGGCCAAUCAAACUUGGAGAUAGCUCGUACUCCCCGAAAAGCAUUUAGGUGCUGCCUUCAGUGAUGAUUGCCGGAGGUAGAGCGACUGAUAGGAUGCGAGGGCUUCACCGCCUAUCAAGUCCUGAUAAACUCCGAAUGCCGGUAAUUUAGCUGUGGAGAAAGGGCGAGGGUGCUAAGGUCCUCGCCCGAGAGGAGAAGAAUCCGGACCGCCGGCUAAGGCCCCGUAGUGCAUGUUAAGUUAGUCUAACGAAGUACGGCCCCCGUGACAGCUAGGAUGUUGGCUUGGAAGCAGCCAUUCAUUCAAAGAGUGCGUAACAGCUCACUAGUCGAGGGUCUGUGCGUGGAUAAUAAUCGGGUAUUAAACAUGCCGCCGAAGCCGCGGGAUUGCACUUUUUAAUGGUGUAAUCGGUAGGGGAGCAUUCCAUGUGCGUUGAAUGGAUUCCGUAAGGGGUUCUGGAGCGUAUGGAAAAGCAAAUGUAGGUAUAAGUAACGAUAAAGAGGGUGAGAUGCCCUCUCGCCGAAAGACUAAGGUUUCCUGGGCGACGUUAAUCGUCCCAGGGUCAGUCGGGUCCUAAGGAUAAGCCUAAUGGCGAGGCCGAACGGAUGAAACGGUUAAUAUUCCGUUACUAUCUGCGUCGAGCGACGCGGUGACGGGGCGGUGACACUUCCGCGCCCUUACGAAUCAGGGCGUUGAACGGCAAAGGUGUAGAUUGCGGUAGUGAAGUACGCCGCGAGAGCCGAAGCCGGAAAGUACGCGAGUCCUCCGGGAUGAGCGAUAGUGAAGGUAAUAGCCUCCGAGAAAACCCGCUAAGCAUUAUGAUGGUGCAGGUACCCGUACCGUAAACGGACACACGUAGUUGGGUAGAAAAUACUAAGGCGCUAGGGAGAUUCACGGUUAAGGAACUAGGCAAAAUAGCCCUGUAACUUCGGGAGAAAGGGUCCUGCUUUUAUAGCGAGGCGCAGUGAAAAGGUCCAGGCAACUGUUUACCAAAAACACAGGGCUGUGCGAAGUGUAAUUACUCAGUAUACAGCCUGACACCUGCCCGGUGCCGGAAGGUUAAGAGGAGGGCUUAUCAGCAAUGAGAAGGUCUGAAUUGAAGCCCCGGUAAACGGCGGCCGUAACUAUAACGGUCCUAAGGUAGCGAAAUUCCUUGUCGGGUAAGUUCCGACCUGCACGAAUGGUGUAAUGAUCCGGACACUGUCUCAACCGUGAUCCCUGUGAAAUUGAAGUAUCGGUGAAGAUGCCGAUUACCCGCGAUGGGACGAAAAGACCCCGUGAACCUUUACUAUAGCUUAGCGUUGGAACUGGGCAAUUGAUGUGUAGGAUAGGCCGGAGGCAAUGAAGCGUGCGCGCCAGCGUAUGUGGAGCCGCCGUUGAAAUACGGCCCUUUGGCUGUUUGAGUUCUAACUUGCAAGAAUGCAAGGACCGCGCUUGGUGGGUAGUUUGACUGGGGUGGUCGCCUCCAAAAGCGUAACGGAGGCUUCUAAAGGUACCCUCAGGCCGAUUGGUAACCGGCCAUGGAGUGUAAUGGCAAAAGGGUGCUUGACUGGGAGGCGGACGUGCCGAGCAGGUAGGAAACUAGAGCAUAGUGAUCCGGUGGUUCCGCAU